CCCAAGUCAUGCACUCAGAAGUCAUUAUAGCAGCCUGCGUAAACAAGCUCAGAUUCUAGCUGGGCAUCUGAGACCCUCCUGAGGUUCAAGUCCUGCCUCCUCAUCUAGAGGUGUGGGUGACUUAGACAUUUUCUUUUCUUUCUUAUUUCUUCUUCUUCUUUUUUGUGGGGGCUGCCUUUUACAACGACAGAGCGAGACUCUGUCUCAAAAAAAAAAAAAANNNAAAAAAAAAAAAAAGAAAAAAGAAAAGCUCCAGAGAUAAUAUGAAUCCUAGGGUAAUGUUAUGUUCCUCAAGAUUUGAUUUAUAUUUACUUUUGGUAGUUCCAGGUCAUUUUCAUUUGAUCAGGGAUUGAGAUGAUUCAAAGCUGGGCUUCAGCCUUUGAUAUUAGUUUAUUUCUACUUAGUUGUAUUACUGACAAAGCUUGUGAGGGUGUUUCCAGGAACCCCUUUUCCUAGCUGGGUCCUGAUCUUCAAUUUUUGUCUCCUCAGUCACCUGAGUGUGUCAAAAGCUCUGCUUUCAAAGCCCCACAGCCUCCUCUGCAGAAAGGAGCAGCUGUCCCUGCACUAGGAUGACAGCAGCCCUAAAUGUCAGGUUCACCUUCCUGGGUUUCUUUUUCUCCUAGAUCUUGCCCCCCUAAUUUUUAACUACCUUGUUAGCUCUCUGAUGCAUUUAAAUGGAUUUUAAAGAUAUAUUUUGUCCAUGUUUCUUAGUUAUUCAGCCUGGGAGUCAGGUCUGAAUUACCUACUGUACCAUUACCAGAAGCACCACCCCCCUCUCAGCUAAGGAAUUUAUUACCUUAAAUCCAGCAGGCACAUUUAGAAGUCUCUGGAACAGAGAAUUAACAUGAUUGAAUGGUAUUUUAGGAAGAUGACUGUCAGUGGUAUGCAAGACGGAGAGGAGCUUGGAAAGUCUCAGUAAGUAGAACAAUUAAGAGAUCUUCAUAAGUCAGUGCUUUCUAAAGUACGAUGAAGGCAGAGGUUAGAGUGGAUAAGCCUGGGUGUUUCACGUUAGAUAGGCCUCAAUUUAAAUGAGAGUCUUGGCUCUCCACUUACUAGCAGGUAAUAAAGGAUAAUAAAGUCCCUAUGUCCUAGGGUUGUAAGGGUUAAAUGGCAAAACUUGUAGAAAACCCUAGGUUUUUUAUUUUUUAUUUUUAGAGAGGAGCUGUCUUUCUGCCACCCAGGCUGGAAUGCAGUGGUGUGAUCAUGGCUCACUGCAGCCUCGAACUCCUGGCUUCAAGUGAUUGUCCCACCUCAGCCUCCCAAGGAGCUGAAAAGACAGGUGUGUCCCACCACACCUAGC
rnacentral:lncRNA from 1 species